GACGGAAGGUGCAAGCGUUGCUCGGAAUCACUGGGCGUAAAGGGUGCGUAGGCGGCCGUGCAAGUCUGGCGUGAAAGCCCCGGGCUCAGCCCGGGAAGUGCGCUCGAAACUGCGCGGCUCGAGUGCCGGAGGGGAGAGUGGAAUUCCAGGUGUAGCGGUGAAAUGCGUAGAUAUCUGGAGGAACACCGGUGGCGAAGGCGGCAUCCUGGACCAUGACUGACGCUGAGGAGCGAAAGCCAGGGGAGCAAACGGG
rnacentral:rRNA from 1 species